UUUCCCCUGAGUUCAUGUUAGCUACAUUGCCCUGUAUCGCAGCAAAGAUUUUUUCUUGUGUACUACAACACAGCUUUUUUCAUGUAAUUUCCUCAUGGUUCAUGUUACCUACAUUGCCCUAUACUGCAGCAAAGUUUUUUUUUCAUGUGUACGUUACACUGGAAUUCGUGUUGGUGUAGUGUUUUGACAGUGAAAUAUUAACAGUUUUAACUUCCGACAGUUAGAAUUUUUCCCCUGAUGAUUCCAAAAUUCUCACUAGAUUGUAUGAUGGUUUUUUUGCAGGCUAGUUCAUGUAGCAGGUGUAUGUAGAGCAGCAGGGUGAGGAAAAACAUGGAAGAGUUCAAUAGAAGUGUGAUCAAAAGGAGUAGGACAUUUCGUGAGCUGUGGACCGUCUCUUGGAUGAUCUUCCUUUGUCCACCACCAAUUAUUCAGAUCUGUUCUUCCCCCUUGCUUCUCUCCAGGUGAUUUGUUGUCCAGGAAAGGAAAAAAGAGCGUGGGCAACGGUCCAGGAGGGUUUGGUGAUAGUUGCCUUGUUUUGUUUCGGUUAUUAGUUAGAACUGGGUCAGAUUUUAGCCACACGACCCCUUUUUUGGAAAUACAAGCAUACAAUUGUCCAUGGUAUUUGGACAUAGGUGUCAGCACUUGAUUUAUCAGGAAAUUUGACUAUAAUAUAGUGCUUUUUACCUUUGUA